GGGCUCAUCUGGGUUUUCCUUGUUGCUGUUUUAAGAGGUGUCCAGGGUGAGGUGCAGCUGGUGGAGUCUGGGGGAGCCGUGGUGAAGCCUGGGGGGUCUCUGAGACUCUCCUGUGCAGCCUCUGGAUUCACCUUCAUAGCUUUGGAAUGAACUGGGUCCGCCAGGCUCCAGGGAAGGGGCUGGAGUGGGUGGCAGUAAUAUGGUACGAUGGAAGUCAGAAGUACUAUGCAGACUCUGUGAAGGGCCGAUUCACCAUCUCCAGAGACAAUUCCAAGAACACGCUGUAUCUGCAAAUGAACAGCCUGAAAUCUGAGGACUCGGCCGUGUAUUUCUGUGC